CGGCGGACGGGUGAGUAACACGUGGAUAACCUACCUAUAAGACUGGGAUAACUUCGGGAAACCGGAGCUAAUACCGGAUAACAUGUUGAACCGCAUGGUUCAACAGUGAAAGGCGGCUUUGCUGUCACUUAUAGAUGGAUCCGCGCCGUAUUAGCUAGUUGGUAAGGUAACGGCUUACCAAGGCAACGAUACGUAGCCGACCUGAGAGGGUGAUCGGCCACACUGGAACUGAGACACGGUCCAG
rnacentral:rRNA from 1 species